rnacentral:lncRNA from 1 species
GAAAGAGAUAGAUCAAAAAGAGGAAAGAAGAGGGACUGGGAAGCUAGGGCGACUGAGGAUACGCCGAGGUCUAGUCCGGCUUGGCAGCGCGAACUAGAGAGCUUUGCGAGCCGCGGGGCUGGGAAGUCAGGGCAUAAGGGCCAGGCCUGCCCUCUGGUGCUUUCGGCUCCUCGGGCCCCCGACUUUAAAGUGCUCAAGUUGGGGUCGGCGCCAUCAUGACGCCUGAGACUGAGAAGAAAAAGUUACAAGUAAUAGAAGAACUAACUCAUUCAGGAGCCCGAAGAAAGGAACAGAACUUCUAGUGUGAGAUGCUGAGACCGCCUCACUGUGAAAGGUGUUCCCUGUCCAUUCUGAUAAGAGGGGGACUGCACAGCUUGGAUUGAUUCAUGUCUCUUGCUUGGAUCCUGCAACAUCUGACUACAGUGCAGGAAAUAAUGUUUAUACAUGAUUUCACAUACUACGGUUGGACAAGAAGGAACUACUAGGACAGGACAGCAUGAGCCGGAAUCAACUGUAUCAUUGGAAUAUGUAUUUUAGCAACUGACUCUCCUAUGAAAGCAACAGUAAAUUAACAGAGGGUCAAACAACUCAAGAUUCUGUCAGUAAUUAGUUGUUGUGAUGUAUUCAUUGACUUGACUAUCCUGAAGGUUACCCUGACAGCUGGAUUCUGAGUGAGUUCUUCAGGUUGCUUGAGGAAAGGCUAACAUCUGAGUCAGUGAGCACUAUGGCUGACUCUUGGAUAUCAUCUGUAACCCUAUUCCCUUGACAAUGAAUAACACUGAAUUCAAUUAAAAUCUGACCCAAACAAGAAGGAGCCUGAAGCUACAGUCUGUCUACAUGAAAAACAAAUUGGGAACUCAGUAGGAAAAGACACUUGCCUCCUAACCUGACCACCAGGGUUCUAUUCCCUAGACCAGCAUGGUUGAAGAGAAGACAAACUCCCAUAAGGUCUCCUCUGGCUUCAACACUGUCCUCAGGGUCUGCAUCUGGCCACACAUACACAUGUUACCUAAUUCAAUCUUUCAUUAAUAAAGUUCCAAUAAAAGAAGUGAGCAAUGAGUAA